GCAUCCGGUGCUGGGAGUCAGGGAUGAGACACACGACAGCAGAGAGAAGGAGCGGGCGAGAGGAUAUUAGAAGAGAGGCUUGCCUCCAAGAUAUGGAAGGAAGUGAGAAAUGACAGGACGACGGCAAGCUUUGUAUGGAGGAGCCCGGCAGGGCGGGGGGAGCAGUGAGGAGCGCGAAGUGGGUUCUCAGAAGCCCUAGAAGAGCUAAAGGUGAUUAGAGGGGGAUAUUGAUUCCUUACUCUGCCAGAGAUUUAAGCAGGCAUGCGAGGAAUCUGCACCAUGGUUGGCAAAAGGAGACCCAUUGCCUCCUGUAACCAGACACUCGGGCUUUCCAGGAGCCCAGGGAGAGAACCGAGAAGAAAGGGGGCAGUGUGGUCUAGGAAAAUUCAACUUGUCGCUGAUUUGUGCCUGAUGCUUGCUGUCCGUCAGCAGCCUCCCUUACAAUCUUUUUUUCCUCUCUCUCCCUUUUUUUCUUGCCUUCUCGUUCUUCACUGAAGCCUAGGGGAGCCAGUAAAGAUUAAAUGUGCUUUCUCAAAGGCAGCCACUUCAUGCUGCUAUGUCGAAAGGGCCAUUAUUAUUAUGUUUUUAACAGUAAAAGAAAAAGGGAGAGAGGUUGAGAGAGAGAGAGAGAGAGAAGCUAGGUAGGAUGAUGACGGACUAGCUUUUCUGAGAGGAAAAGGGAAAGGGAAGGGAGAGAAAAAGGAGAGACCCUGAACUGAACAGAGGAUUGUGCCUGCGAAGAACCUACAGAGGCUGGAAUAAAAGAAGAAAAAGAAGGAGGAAAGGAAAGGAAACAGAAGGAAAGAAAAAAAGGGGAAGAAAAAAAUUUUAAAGAGUCAUCUUCCCACCCACUUCCCCUCCCUUUCGUUUCAUUUUUGGAGGCGGCACUAGAAGCCAUCUCCGCAGAGGAAAGCCCAGCUUCCAGGCAGACGCGGGGAAGCGACGAUCUAUCAGGUACAGAGCCCGUAGCUGUCUGCGAAGAUGGAGGGGAAUUGUGCUUCGGAUUCCUCCGAAAUAUUGGCAAACGGCUUCAAAGGAUCCGCGGCGGGAGUGGGGCGGGGGAGAUGCGCCUCCCCGGCUCGCGCCCACCCCUUCCCACUCGCCUCGACCAAGUGACAGCCUGGUGCUGGCUCGGGGUGAUUUGGCCUUGGCUUCAGCCAAGCAGCUGAUGCACAGGAGGCCCUUCGCAGGACUGGCAAAGUGCACGCUAAAGAAAGAAGGAGGAAAAUUUGAAAAGCAGCCCUGGGGAGGGUUCUCAUUCUUCGAAAAACAUUUUUUUUGAAUUUUUAACUGAAUAUUCUCAAAAUUUAAUCAGUCCCAUUCCCUCCGUCCACUCCCACCGAAUCAACCUUUUUGCCCCCCUCUCUCGUCAAAGCAUGAACUACAGAGUUACAGUCUCUAGAUUUGGUGUAUCGCUUCCUGCCCCCGCCUCCCCCUCCCUGCCCAGUUCUCAGCCCUCUAUUGAAACACCUCGCCCAGGCAAGCGCCCUGCAGCUCACAUUUCCCCCCCUGGCCCGGACGGUGCUACUGGAGGCUGCAGCCCGACUCCACUUCCAAUGGUAAGUUGCCUGUUGGAUAAACCUGAAGUUAUUCUUACGGAGCGCAUUCUCCCAGAGCGAGGAUCGUGGUGCUCUCACACACUCUCAAGCAAUGCUGUUGCUUGACUGAUUCCUGAACAAGAAGAUGAACAAUGAGCAAGCUCCGUUUUUCUGUCGUGUUGAUGUCCUUUCAGCUGGUCCUAUAGUCCCCCCUCCUCAGGAAUGUCUCCCCAGUGAAAGGACACAGACCACAGAGACUGCUGUCCUGAUGGACGCUCAAGCCGACUGUGAAGUUGAAACAAAGAAAGCGAUCACCUGAAGACACCUCUCCUGCCAAGCGACACACCCACAUGCUGCAGCUUCAGCCAAUAGAAUCUCAGAACAAGAGGCAAGCUUUUCAAGAAACAGAAACACUUAAGAGUGACAUCUAGAUUUCAAAGGAGCCAAGGACUUUCCCUUCGUCAUGUGUAUUCCUCUCUUUGUAUUUAAAUUCUGUGUGACAUUCAUUUUUAAAAAACUUUUUUUCAAGUAUGAAUGAAUAUACUUAUUAAUGCACCAGUUUUUAAAAUAGAAAGUUGUUCAUGCCGGAAGUAAAUUGAAUGUUAGCCACACACCAAGUUUGACCUUCAGAGUGACUUAAAGAAUAUAAAGUUCUUUUGAAAUAACGAAAUAGUGGGAGGCAAUCCAAAGGAUAAAAUAAUGGUGAGAACUCAGACUGUGGCAUAGAAAUACAAGAUCCUGCUGACGCCAACCAACCAACCAACCAUUCUUUUUAUCAGGCAAGCUAGGUUCUGUGAGAUGUGGUCAGUGCCUCUAAAGAGUUUAAAUCUAGUGCGGCAGAGGCACAUAAACUUUUGAAAAGAUAAGUAACAAAUCAGGUCAACUGAUAAGAGCAAAACCAAAACAAAGCAAAAGAUAUAAACAAGGAGCUCAGAGGUCACCUUAAGCUGGGCAAACUGGUCUGUUUAGGGAAGAAAGUUCCCAAAGGAGGAAAAUACAAGAUGAAUCUUAAAGGCUGUUAAAGAUUUAGAUAACUGGAAAGGAAGGAGAAAAUAGAGGCCUUUAGAUGGAUGCAAUAUUGUGAGAAAAGUCAGAGAGGAAAACGUCUACGUGGUGGUUUUAAGGAAUUAUGAAUAUACAUGUCUUGUGUACUGCAUCCCAGACUUUCAGUGCCAAUGUAUAGAUAUAUAUACGGUGAAGACUUUGCACACACACACACUUCCCCCUCCCUCCCUAGGGGUAGCCUAGAAUUAUAAUCAUAUUUCUUCCAUUAAAGCAACUGAUAUGAAGAUUUGUGAUUUUUCUUUUAGCCUAGUAACAAUGGAUAUUUAUUGAGUUCUCACUACAUGUUAAGCAUUUUCUAUGUUAACUCUCUUAAGCCUCACAACGACCCUGCCAAAUAGAUGUUGUUUUUUAUUCCCAUUUUACACAAAGAAACCUGACUUUUAAUGAGAUUGAGUAACUUGCCAAACUGCCACAUACAGGGUUCACAAUCAGAAUUGCGAUUGCAGAGCUCAUGAUCUAACGCACGAAGUCACAGUAUUGCUACCAACGUUGUAAUAUUACCGCUUCUAUAUUCCUCGAUAUUUUUCUGUAGUAAAUAAAUAGCAAUUUCCUUUAAUUAGCUUCUCAAAUUUUUCAGUUUUCUGGUUAAACUCACAUGAUGGAAUGUAUUUUCAUGAAAGAAAUUGAAAAAAAUUGGGGCGUAGAGUCUUAUCAGCAUUUUCGACCAUUUUUUGGGAGGGGGCCAGACUCUGAUGAAACUUCACUUCGAUCAGCAUGAAAUCUCAACUUCUUGAGACUAAAAGUAGGAGGUGGACAGAGCUUAAAGUUCCUUUUCUACAGAUGUGAUAAAUCCAUAAAGUUAGAGUGACUUACGGAAGAUCACACGUUGAAGUGUAGCAGAGCUAGGUCCGGAAACCAUGCCGCCCUCAGAGGCUCUUGAACUUCUCCACUCUGUCUAAAUGAAGUGUGAGCUUGAAUUUGAUCAGUGAAAACAUUCUAUCUGGGUGACCAGGGAGCAUUGUACCUCGUAGAUUGCUUCAAUUUUGCACCUCUUUGGCUUCUCACCUCAAUGUGAAAAUUAGCUAGCUACAAACUGACAUCUUUAGUUCCAGAAAUUGUCAAUGAUCCAUCCACAAAGAACACACAAUGGCCCAAGCUACGUGUGCAAUGUCUUCAAUGAUAUUCUUAAGUUAUUUGGCAUUCUUAGUUCACCUAAACAAACCAGAUCUUCUAAUGAGCAUUUUCUUAACCAGUUUUAUGGACAGUAUAUAUUUGUAAGAGCUUCUGCAUGAAUAUUUAAACAUGACUGUUUCAGUAGUCCUUAUGUUUUUUGAAAAUAUCAAUGGUUAUUUGCUAUUUUAAUUGUUACUAACUCAAGAAUACUUCAGCCAUAAAAAACUAGAAAUGGCGCUUCCCUGGUGGUGCAGUGGUUGAGAGUCCGCUUCCCGAUGCAGGAGGUACAGGUUCGUGCCCCGGUCCGGGAAGAUCCCACAUGCCACGGAUUGGGCCCGUGAGCCAUGGCCUCUGAGCCUGCGUGUCCGGAGCCUGUGCUCCGCAACGGGAGAGGCCACAACAGUGAGAGGCCCACGUAUCGCAAAACAAAACAAAACAAACAAACAAAAAAACUAGAACUGAGGAAACCUCACUCUUCUUUACCAGCCCCUUUGCCUUCAGUUGGCAUUUAGUAAUGAUUAAUAAAGUGGUCAGCUGGAGAACACAGAAGUUCAAAACGCAAUUUUGUCUUGAAGGAGUCAGUUAACCUGUGUCUACUUAAGGGCAAGCAUCUAGAUGUCUGGAAGGAUCUGAAUAUUUGACUGCUGUAAACUUCUGCUUAGAUAUCUGGCAUUGUCACACUUAGCCCUCCUGGUGGCUCAGGUCGUCCUGUUUUCAAAAUGAUGGUCAUUGGCCAUAUCUCACACAGUUCUCAUUAAGUGGACUCAUAAAUAAACAGUUUUUUUUUAAGUGUAGCCAAGCACAAAAUGUGACUUUGUUGACAUUUUAUGAGACUUUGUCACAUGUCCCCUGAACCCCCAAUAAAAGCAGUGUUGCAUCAACUGUGAA